rnacentral:lncRNA from 1 species
AUAGAGACCCUCGGAGUCUGUGGGUGUGUGGGAUAGAGACCCUCGGAGUCUGUGGGUGUGUGGGAUAUAUGCCCUCGGAGUCUGUGGGUGUGUGGGAUAGAGACCCUCGGAGUCUGUGGGUGUGUGGGAUAUAUGCCCUCAGAGUCUGUGGGUGUGUGGGAUAGAGACCCUCGGAGUCUGUGGGUGUGUGGGAUAGAGACCCUCGGAGUCUGUGGGUGUGUGGGGAUAGAGACCCUCGGAGUCUGUGGGUGUGUGGGAUAUAUGCCCUCGGAGUCUGUGGGUGUGUGGGAUAGAGACCCUCGGAGUCUGUGGGUGUGUGGGAUAGAGACCCUCGGAG